rnacentral:lncRNA from 1 species
CCACGCCAGGCCCUGGAGUGCUGUGGUUACUGUGGAAACACUUUACAGUGCCUCUUCGUGGAACAGUGUGUAAAGGAAGGUUCGUAAGCAUCAAGAUGAACCGGUGGCACAGCUGAGCUUCGGGCUACAGAGCUUGAACCGUGGUUCGUCAGGGCACCUCCAGUCACACCAGCAAAGACUCCAGAGCUGCACUUCCUUGGUUCAAAUCCUGGCUCUGAACCACGCAUCCUGUUUGGACCACGUGCACUUGCUCAGGAGAGAUAAGUGCUCUGUGCCUUCCUUCCCCGUGGGGGAUGAUAGUAGAGUCACUGGAGGCAACGCUGUUCGCGACGGUGGGAGUGUGGGGAGUGCCGGGCACCUCCUAGGCGUCCUGCAGGUGUCAGCCUGCGUCUUUCCCAGAGGUGGCAGCAUCCUGGAGAGGCGGCGCGGGUCCGUGGGAAGACAGUGGCCUGGAAAGACAGUGGGCUGGGAGUCUGACGGUGCUGAGUGGAGUGAAGAGUUCUGUCCCUGCAGCCACGUGCAGCUGCCUUAUUGGUCAUUCAAGAGGACGCUUGGUAACUAUUUUAGAUACUUAUGUAUUUCGAUGUAGGCAUCUCUAGCUUAAACUGUGAAGUAGAUUAAUGUUUUUCUUUUUUUUUUUUAAUGAUUUUUUUAUUAUAUUAUGUUAGUCACCAUACAGUACAUCCCCGGUUUCCGAUGUAAGUCUUGAUGAUUCAUUAGUUGUGUAUAACACCCAGUGCACCAUGCAAUACGUGCCCUCCUUACUACCCAUCACCGGUCUAUCCCAUUCCCCCACCCCCCUCCCCUCUAAAGUCCUCAGUUUGUUUCUCAUAGUCCAUAGUCUCUCAUGUUUCAUUCCCCCUUCUGAUUACCCCCCUUUCUUUAUCCCUUUCUUCUCCUACUGAUCAUCCUAGUUCUUAUGUUCCAUAGAUGAGAGAAAUCAUAUGAUAGUUGUCUUUCUCUGCUUGACUUAUUUCACUUAGCAUUAUCUCCUCCAGUGCCGUCCAUAUUGUAGCAAAUGUUGAGAACUCGUUCUUUCUGAUAGCUGAGUAAUAUUCCAUUGUAUAUAUGGACCACAACUUCUUAAUCCAGUCAUCUGUUGAAGGGCAUCUCGGCUCCUUCCACGAUUUAGCUAUUGUGGACAUUGCUGCUAUG